CCUGCGGAAGGAUCAUUACCACAUAUCAUCGGGGGAGAACUUCGGUUCUCCUGUCUGAACCCUUGUCUUUUGCGUACUAUUUGUUUCCUUGGUGGGCUUGCCUGCCGAUAGGACAACCAUUAAACCUUUUGUAAUUGCAAUCAGCGUCAGAAAAAACAUAAUAAUUACAACUUUCAACAACGGAUCUCUUGGUUCUGGCAUCGAUGAAGAACGCAGCGAAAUGCGAAAAGUAGUGUGAAUUGCAGAAUUCAGUGAAUCAUCGAAUCUUUGAACGCACAUUGCGCCCCUUGGUAUUCCAUGGGGCAUGCCUGUUCGAGCGUCAUUUGUACCUUCAAGCUCUGCUUGGUGUUGGGUGUUUGUCCCGCUUUUUUGCGUGGACUCGCCUCAAAGCAAUUGGCAGCCGGCGUACUAGCCUGGGAGCGCAGCACAUUUUGCGCAUCUCGACUUGAACGCUUGCAUCCAUCAAGUUACUUUUUAACUCUUGACCUCGGAUCAGGUAGGGAUACCCGCUGAACUUAAGCAUAUCAAUAA
rnacentral:misc_RNA from 1 species